rnacentral:misc_RNA from 1 species
AACGUAGGAGACGAGCGUUAUCCGGAAUGAUUGGGCGUAAAGCGUUUGUAGGUGGCUUUUUAAGUCGGAUGUGAAAUCCCUGAGCUUAACUUAGGAAUUGCAUUCGAUACUGGGAAGCUAGAGUAUGGGAGAGGAUGGUAGAAUUCCAGGUGUAGCGGUGAAAUGCGUAGAGAUCUGGAGGAAUACCGAUGGCGAAGGCAGCCAUCUGGCCUAAUACUGACGCUGAGGUACGAAAGCAUGGGGAGCAAACAGG